UUUAAAAAUUAUUUUGACUAAAGUAAAUAUGCAUGAUUUAAAAUCAUUUAGCAUUAAAUUAAAUAUAUGCAUGAUUUUGUAAAAAUAAUUUUACGAGAGAAGCCAUGUCAUGAGUCAAGUUGUCGGAUCAAGAUCACAGUUAAGAACGACUUAUGUAAAACUAUAAAACUUGGUCUUGUGCUUGAAUCUCGUUAUAUAU
rnacentral:lncRNA from 1 species